UACGUAGGGUGCUAGCGUUGUCCGGAAUUAUUGGGCGUAAAGAGCUCGUAGGCGGCUUGUCGCGUCGGAUGUGAAAGCCCGGGGCUUAACCCCGGGUCUGCAUUCGAUACGGGCAGGCUAGAGUUCGGUAGGGGAGAUCGGAAUUCCUGGUGUAGCGGUGAAAUGCGCAGAUAUCAGGAGGAACACCGGUGGCGAAGGCGGAUCUCUGGGCCGAUACUGACGCUGAGGAGCGAAAGCGUGGGGAGCGAACAGG
rnacentral:rRNA from 1 species